rnacentral:rRNA from 1 species
CCUACGGGGUGCAGCAGUGAGGAAUAUUGGUCAAUGGGCGCGAGCCUGAACCAGCCAAGUCGGGUGAGGGAAGACGGUCCUAUGGAUUGUAAACCUCUUUUGUCGGGGAGCAAAAGACGCCACGCGUGGCGUUCCGCGAGUACCCGAAGAAAAAGCAUCGGCUAACUCCGUGCCAGCAGCCGCGGUAAUACGGAGGAUGCGAGCGUUAUCCGGAUUUAUUGGGUUUAAAGGGUGCGCAGGCGGAAGAUCAAGUCAGCGGUAAAAUUGAGAGGCUCAACCUCUGCGAGCCGUUGAAACUGGUUUUCUUGAGUGAGUGAGAAGUAUGCGGAAUGCGUGGUGUAGCGGUGAAAUGCAUAGAUAUCACGCAGAACUCCGAUUGCGAAGGCAGCAUACCGGCGCUCAACUGACGCUCAUGCACGAAAGUGUGGGUAUCGAACAGGAUUAGAUACCCGGGUAGUC